rnacentral:rRNA from 1 species
CCGGCGACCGGCGCACGGGUGAGUAACGCGUAUGCAACCUGCCCGUUUCAGCGGGAUAACCCGGAGAAAUCCGGCCUAAUACCGCAUGUGGCCGAGGGGAGGCAUCUUCUUUCGGCCAAAGGAGGCGACUCCGGAGACGGAUGGGCAUGCGUGGCAUUAGCUAGUUGGCGGGGUAACGGCCCACCAAGGCGACGAUGUCUAGGGGUUCUGAGAGGAAGGUCCCCCACACUGGUACUGAGACACGGACCAGACUCCUACGGGAGGCAGCAG